rnacentral:lncRNA from 1 species
UAUACGGGGAAUUUAUAAAGAUUGAUGUGACACGUUUCAGAAAUAACAAUUAAGAUGAUUUAAAAAUGUUACUGUUAUAUUAUUUUAAUUAAUAAAUUUUGUAUAAAGUUUCUAAAAUACGAGUAUUUUUAUUAAUAUAAUACAUCUAGUAGUGGGAGUGUGCAAGAGAAUAUAAUUAGUUUCCCUCCCAUAUUUGUAGGACGGGUUCAAGUCUCGUGAAUUGCCCAUUACACCUUAUCAAAGUGGCACGUUAGGUUUUUUCGACAUUUAUGUAUCUUUGAGAAUUGUCGAAUUGAACAAUGAACAGAAAUAUUUGAGGACAAUGACUCUUUAAUUUGUAAAAUAACGAAAAUAAGACUACCACCUACUAUAUCUUUCAAACCAAAGCAAAAACAUUGUAUACUAAGGCCAUAUUUGAUAACAGAUUUUACUUUAAUGAAAGUAGCUAUCCAAACUCAAUUCUGGGAUUAGAUUAUAGUACUCCAUUUUUAGGUAAUUAACAUUCUCAGUGAACUAUUAUUCAAUAAUUUAAUUUUUGCACUAGAAUGUCGUUAAAGUGAAUCGCAGAACUAAUAAUUCAAUUUCACCAUUAAAAUAACUUGGUAUAUCUAUUUAGAUCUAGUGGUGUUGUGCCAAAUUUAGUUGGUAGCAGAUAGCAAGUACACUUAAUUUUUGGUGCAAUUAGGGGGUGAGUUGAACUAAUUAAAUAAAAUAUGGUAAU